AGCAGCCGCGGUAAUUCCAGCUCCAAUAGCGUAUAUUAAAGUUGUUGCAGUUAAAAAGCUCGUAGUUGAAUUUCGGGGUUAGUAGAUUGGUCAUGCCUCUGGUAUGCACUGGACUCACUGAUUCCUCCUUCCUGAUGAGCCGUAAUGCCAUUAAUUUGGUGUUGCGGGGAAUUUGGACUGUUACUUUGAAAAAAUUAGAGUGUUUAAAGCAAGCUAACGCUUGAAUACAUUAGCAUGGAAUAAUGAAAUAGGACGUUCGAUCCUAUUUUGUUGGUUUCUAGGAUUGACGUAAUGAUUAAUAGGGAUAGUUGGGGGCAUUAGUAUUCAAUUGUCAGAGGUGAAAUUCUUGGAUUUAUUGAAGACUAACUACUGCGAAAGCAUUUGCCAAGGAUGUUUUCAUUAAUCAAGAACGAAAGUUAGGGGAUCGAAGACGAUCAGAUACCGUCGUAGUCUUAACCAUAAACUAUGCCGACUAGGGAUCGGAUGAUGUUAAUUUUUUAAUGACUCAUUCGGCGCCUUACG
rnacentral:rRNA from 1 species